GAUGAACGCUGGCGGCGUGCCUAAUACAUGCAAGUCGAGCGGACGGACGAAAAGCGUGCUUCUCUGAUGUUAGCGGCGGACGGGUGAGUAACACGUGGAUAACCUACCUAUAAGACUGGGAUAACUUCGGGAAACCGGAGCUAAUACCGGAUGAUAUUUUGAACCGCAGGGUUCAAAAGUGAAAGACGGUCUUGCUGUCACUUAUAGGUGGAUCCGCGCUGCAUUAGCUAGUUGGUAAGGUAACGGCUUACCAAGGCAACGAUGCGUAGCCGACCUGAGAGGAUGAUCGGCCACACUGGAACUGGGACACGGUCCAGACUCCUACGGGAGGCAGCAGUAGGGAAUAUUGCGCAAUGGGCGAAAGCCUGACCGAGCAACGCCGCGUGUGUGAAGAAGGUCUUCGGAUCGUAAAGCUCUUUUAGUUGGGAAGAACAGAUGUGUAAGUAUCUCUUCACAUCUUGACGUUACCUACUCAGAAAGCCCCGGCUAACUUCGUG
rnacentral:rRNA from 1 species